rnacentral:miRNA from 1 species
AAAACAUAUAAUAGUUUUGUUUGUGGAAACACCACGUAAAUUUAUUACUGCGAGUAAUAAAUUUACGUGGUGUUUCCACAAACAAAACUAUUAAAUGUAUUUUCUGCAAUA